UUCCAAGGAUGGAGAAACAUUCCAAGCUUAUAUAUUAGUUCAUCAGCAAGGAAUUAGAAGGUUUUCUAUUUCUUCAUCUUCUUCAAGUUUUUUAAAGAUUUUUUCCCCUAACUUUUGCUUAUUUUUUUCAUGUACUACUAAAUUUAAGAAAAACGAUUUAUAAUUUGGAUUUGUUGUGUCAAAUUUUUGGAUUAUUUUGUUCAUGCUUGUAUUAGUCCAAUUGGAUACAGAUUAGCCAAGAGCAAGCAGGUGAUCAACAUACUUGCUUGAGGACCAUAGGAGGUAGAUUAUUGUUGUGGUUCUUAAGGUUUGUUCUUAUACAAUAAUCCAUGAAUAUUGCGGUUUUUUUUUUUUUUUGGGCUUAUGGAGCAUUGCAGGUAAGAACCAAGAGAGAGAGAGAGAUUUUGUAGUUUAGCAUAAAAUAUUUUUUAGGUGAUCUAAUAAUGUAUUGGGCACGUUUCUUGUUGCUCUUAUGGAAGUUGUUGUAAGUUUGCCUCUUUUUUUUUUGUCAAAGCUGUAAUUCCUUGCUCCUAUGCAUUGUAAGUAUUUUUUUUAUUGAGUUAUUUUGUUACCACAACACUAUUUUGGUUUCUCUGUUCACUUUAGCCCUUUUUGAGUUGGCGUCACCUUCACAAGUUUAAUCAAAGAAGAAUCUCACUACAGAUCUAGAUGGAAAGAGAAACAUAGAAGGUGAAAUAUGUCAAGUUAUCAUCUGUACUCCUUAGAUAGUCAUAGUUACUUCUCUUUGGAUCUUAGUUAUAGAAUAAGAAUUAUUUUAAGAGAACCACAUUGAGCUUCAAUUGACACAUAUCCUUGUAAAGAACUUUUUAUGCAGUUUGUUAUGGAUUCUCUUGAAACUGAGUCUGCAGAUGGUAUUGAAAGUUCAAGAUAGGUAAUUGCACUUUUUCCUUUGAGUUCCUGAAUAUGCUAA
rnacentral:lncRNA from 1 species